rnacentral:lncRNA from 1 species
GGGCCAGAGGUGGAGUGGGAGUUGGAGGCAUUCCCACAUUCGGGGUUGGCCCUGGGGGCUUUCCUGGCUACGGAGACGCAGCAGCUCAGGCAGCUGCCGCCGCCAAGGCAGCCAAGAUCGGUGCUGGGGGAGUAGGAGCCCUGGGAGGGCUGGUGCCAGGUGCCCCAGGAGCAAUACCAGGCGUGCCGGGUGUUGGAGGUGUGCCAGGUGUUGGAGGGGUGCCAGGUGAGCUGUGUCCCAGCCCAGACAUAGGUUUGGUUUAUCUCAUGGAAGGGUCCCAUUUUACAGAUGGCAAGACUGAGCCCAGAGACAGGGGUAGAGAAAAAGGGAUUUCCCAUACUUUGAAGGGAAGUGUCUCCAUGGGAUUCCAGAUCGCUGAGUGAACCCAGAAAGUCUCCUCCCUGCCCUCAGGGAUGCUCAGGAUGUCAGCCUGAGAGGCAGCAGAACUCUGCUUGGCUGGGGUUUGGGGAGACCUCAUUCAUCCCCCGCCCCACCGGGCCUUUCUGCUUUCUGAUCGGGUGGGAGGGCCUGUGUUAGUCUCUGUUUACCCGGCACUCUUUCUCCAAAGGGAGGAAAUGAGAUUAAUUUACAAUCCUCCUUGUCGGUUUGUGGGUUUUUUUCCCACCAGAAGAGGUCUCUUCUGCAUUUCUUCUUCUUUCUGGGCGGAGGGUGGUGGGGGGGGUUCCCCUUUUGCAUUUCUCCCCCAAGAAAUAAGCCGUUUCCUCCAAUAGCCACAGAGUCAGAGCUGCUUCUCAGGGAGAGGACAUGCCCAGAGCGGCUGGCGGGCCAUCUCAGUGCGGGCCUGAGAGAGGGGGCAGUUCCCGAGAUAUGGACUCUGUGAAGUCUUUCUACCAUGGGGGAUGGAAGAGAGAGGGGAGGGGUGCUGGGGACCCCUCCCCAUCCUUAAUCUUCGCCUUUCCAGGGGUCGGGGCUCCAGCAGCUGCAGCCGCCAAAGCAGCCGCCAAAGCCGCCCAGUUUGGAUUAGGCCCUGGCGUCGGCGUGGCUCCCGGUGUCGGCGUGGCUCCCGGCGUCGGCGUGGUUCCCGGUGUCGGUGUGGCUCCCGGCGUUGGCGUGGCUCCUGGCAUCGGCCUUGGCCCCGGUGGUGUCAUAGCCCCAGCUGCAGCUAAGUCCGCUGCUAAGGCCGCCGCCAAAGCCCAGUUCCGGGCUGCUGCUGGCCUUCCCGCUGGCGUUCCUGGCCUUGGAGUGGGCGCGGGAGUUCCUGGCCUUGGAGUGGGUGUUGGUGUUCCCGGCCUUGGAGUCGGGGCCGGAGUUCCUGGACUUGGGGCAGGGGCAGUACCUGGAACCCUGGCCGCAGCUAAAGCAGCCAAGUUCGCACCAGGAGGGGUCGGGGCCCUUGGAGGGGUUGGAGAUCUUGGUGGAGCCGGCAUUCCAGGUGGUGUGGCAGGAGUCGGACCUGCUGCCGCAGCUGCUGCCGCCAAAGCUGCCGCCAAAGCCGCCCAAUUUGGUGAGCACGGGUGUGAGGUGGGGGCUGCCGUGGGAGUUGGGGGUGUGUGUGUCUGA